rnacentral:misc_RNA from 1 species
GAAAUGCGAUAAGUAAUGUGAAUUGCAGAAUUCAGUGAAUCAUCGAAUCUUUGAACGCACAUUGCGCCCCCUGGUAUUCCGGGGGGCACACCUGUUCGAGCGCCAUUUCUACCCUGGAGCCCUGCUCUGUGAUGGGCCCCGUCCUCGCGGACGGGCCCGAAACCCGUGGGCGCCGUCGUCCGGCCCUGAGCGUAGCAAGAGAAAUCCCUCGCUCGGUGAGUCGCACGGUGGCCGCCCCGACCUAUUUUUACAAGGUUGGCCUCGGAUCAGGUGGGGAUACCCGCUGAACUUAA